rnacentral:sRNA from 1 species
UUACUACACAUUAUGAUACCCCCACUGAC